rnacentral:rRNA from 1 species
UACAGAGGUCCCGAGCGUUGUUCGGAUUCACUGGGCGUAAAGGGUGCGUAGGUGGUGAGGUAAGUCGGAUGUGAAAUCUCCAAGCUCAACUUGGAAACUGCAUUGGAAACUACCUUGCUAGAGGAUUUGAGGGGGGAUUGGAAUACUUGGUGUAGCAGUGAAAUGCGUAGAUAUCAAGUGGAACACCAGUGGCGAAGGCGAAUCCCUGGAAAAUAUCUGACACUGAGGCACGAAAGCUAGGGGAGCAAACAGG